rnacentral:misc_RNA from 1 species
GAUGAAGAACGCAGCGAAAUGCGAUACGUAAUGUGAAUUGCAGAAUUCAGUGAAUCAUCGAAUCUUUGAACGCAUAUUGCGCUCUCUGGUAUUCCGGAGAGCAUGCUUGUUUGAGUAUCAGUAAACACCUCAACUUCCAUAUCUUUUUUGAAAUGGGAGUUGGACUUGAGUGAGCCCAACGCUUUUCCUCACCGAAAAGUGGCGGGUUACUUGAAAUGCAGGUGCAGCUGGACUUUUCUCUGAGCUAUAAGCAUAUCUAUUUAGUCUGCCUAAAAAACAGAUUAUUACCUUUGCUGCAGCUAACAUAAAGGAGAUUAGUUCUUGUGCUGACUGAUGCAGGAUUCACAAAGACAGGCUUCGGCCGACUUUGUAAACUCGAUCUCAAAUCAAGUAAGACUACCCGCUGAACUUAAGCAUAUCAAUAAGCGGAGGA